rnacentral:misc_RNA from 1 species
CCGAAAACAAAAAGGGCCCUUUGAGACAUUUGAUAUAGACCUCAUAUUACAUUACACGUUAAAACUCACUUAUAAACCAAUUUACCAUCUAAUAUGAAAUAAUCCAGAAGAUCUAAUACGUGAUCCAAAAUGAAACAGAGGCCUCAAAGCCAAUAUAUAAUAUCCACCUUAACGAAACAAAACCAAAGACCCAUCACUUUCAACAUAAUCUUAAAUAGGUUUCCAACAAAAGUAUUUGUUUAGCAAUCAAAAAAGGAAUCCGCACUACUCAAAUCAAAGCUUCUUAAUAGCGUCCAAUCCCCCAGACU